rnacentral:lncRNA from 1 species
AUUAAAACAAAACUUCAAACUGCUUUAACAUGGUUCUCUAUAAAACACGUCUCCAGACUACCUGUUGACUAUCUGGACCGGUCUAUUGGAAGGACCUUGAGCUCAGUCCUGAUCUCCAGACUACCUGUUGACUAUCUGGACCGGUCUAUUGGAAGGACAUUGAUCUCAGUCCUGAUCUCCAGACUACCUGUUGACUAUCUGGACCGGUCUAUUGGAAGGACAUUGAUCUCAGUCCUGAUCUCCAGACUACCUGUUGACUAUCUGGACCGGUCUAUUGGAAGGACCUUGAUCUUAGUCCUGAUCUCCAGACUACCUGUUGACUAUCUGGACCGGUCUAUUGGAAGGACCUUGAUCUCAGUCCUGAUCUCCAGACUACCUGUUGACUAUCUGGACCGGUCUAUUGGAAGGACAUUGAUCUCAGUCCUGAUCUCCAGACUACCUGUUGACUAUCUGGACCGGUCUAUUGGAAGGACAUUGAUCUCAGUCCUGAUCUCCAGACUACCUGUUGACUAUCUGGACCGGUCUAUUGGAAGGACAUUGAUCUCAGUCCUGAUCUCCAGACUACCUGUUGACUAUCUGGACCGGUCUAUUGGAAGGACAUUGAUCUCAGUCCUGAUCUCCAGACUACCUGUUGACUAUCUGGACCGGUCUAUUGGAAGGACAUUGAUCUCAGUCCUGAUCUCCAGACUACCUGUUGACUAUCUGGACCGGUCUAUUGGAAGGACAUUGAUCUCAGUCCUGAUCUCCAGACUACCUGUUGACUAUCUGGACCGGUCUAUUGGAAGGACAUUGAUCUCAGUCCUGAUCUCCAGACUACCUGUUGACUAUCUGGACCGGUCUAUUGGAAGGACAUUGAUCUCAGUCCUGAUCUCCAGACUACCUGUUGACUAUCUGGACCGGUCUAUUGGAAGGACAUUGAUCUCAGUCCUGAUCUCCAGACUACCUGUUGACUAUCUGGACCGGUCUAUUGGAAGGACCUUGAUCUCAGUCCUGAUCUCCAGACCCUAA